CUAGAACGACGCUCUUUGGGGGAUCUUUAAGGUCGCUGAAGCUGAAAACGAGGGUCGUUUUUUACGGAAAUAAGGCGUAAAAAAUUUUGCUCGAUCCGUUGAUGCGCGACGUCUUCGUGGAUUUUGACGGGACCCUUUUUCAAAUUUACUAUUCUCCGGCGAUCGUACGAUUUACUCUGUGUACAUCUGAACCCUUCGACGAUCCGAUAUAGGAGGGCAAGUACGGAAGAAACACUUUGCAGUCCGGAUACUAUAGCGAAUCGGAAGAUAAAUA
rnacentral:misc_RNA from 1 species